CACACCUCCCCAUCAAAGCCCUCAGGAACUCCAGCAAAGACAGAGGAAAAGCAUUCCCACCAUACUACUACAACAGACCUGCAGUGAGCUGCAAAGGGGAGCAAGGAAGCAAAAUUGAAAUUUGACAACCUUCUUUGAAUCCUGACAGCCUUACAAAGGCAUUCACCAAGGUACCAGGGAAGGGAGAAUAAGCCAAAACUCCUCUUUGAGGGAAAGGAGGAAAGGGAUGGAAAGAAAUAAGCCACUGAAAACAGGAUUUUGAAAAAGAAGUGCUAUCUCAGCCUGAACUCUCUUUUUGCAGGAACACCUCCAGGAAAUGAUAAUGAUAAAUGCUACGUUCACAACCU